AGUGACGAAAAAUAACGAUACGGGACUCAUCCGAGGCCCCGUAAUCGGAAUGAGUACACUCUAAACCCUUUAACGAGGAUCAAUUGGAGGGCAAGUCUGGUGCCAGCAGCCGCGGUAAUUCCAGCUCCAAUAGCGUAUAUUAAAGUUGUUGCGGUUAAAAAGCUCGUAGUCGAAUCUGUGUCCCGCGCCGCCGGUUCAUCGUUCGCGGUGUUAACUGGCGUGCCGCGGGACGUCCUGCCGGUGGGCUUAGCUCGCGAGGGCGGCCCAACUCAAUCCCGCCGCGGUGCUCUUCAUUGAGUGUCGAGGUGGGCCGGCACGUUUACUUUGAACAAAUUAGAGUGCUUAAAGCAGGCUAAAACUUCGCCUGAAUACUGUGUGCAUGGAAUAAUGGAAUAGGACCUCGGUUCUAUUUUGUUGGUUUUCGGAACCCCGAGGUAAUGAUUAAUAGGAACGGAUGGGGGCAUUCGUAUUGCGACGUUAGAGGUGAAAUUCUUGGAUCGUCGCAAGACGGACAGAAGCGAAAGCAUUUGCCAAAAACGCUUUCAUUGAUCAAGAACGAAAGUUAGAGGUUCGAAGGCGAUCAGAUACCGCCCUAGUUCUAACCAUAAACGAUGCCAGCUAGCGAUCCGCCGACGUUCCUCCGAUGACUCGGCGGGCAGCUUCCGGGAAACCAAAGCUUUUGGUUCCGGGGGAAGUAUGGUUGCAAAGCUGAAACUUAAAGGAAUUGACGGAAGGGCACCACCAGGAGUGGAGCCUGCGGCUUAAUUU
rnacentral:rRNA from 1 species